rnacentral:lncRNA from 1 species
AAAUUUCCAGAACGUUUACAUCUCCACUCUGGACCUCUCGUGGACGAGUCCCACAAAGAUCUGAAAACUAAGAUGCAGAUGAUGCUGGUCGCUAGGUUGCUGUCAAGGCAAACUAAAUUUGAUUUGCUCAUUCUAAGUGUGCUCUGAUCUAUUUUAGCUAUUUUUUUGUAACUAGGUUGUUUUGAUUACUUUGUGUUUUGCAGUGGCAUUUUUAAGUGUUGGAAGGCUACCUUGAAUCCCAACUUGGGAGAAAGGCGGGAUAGAAAUACCAUAUUUUUUGCUCUAUAAGACUCACCUUUUCCCUCCUAAAAAAUAAGGGGAAAUGUGUGUGCGUCUUAUGGAGCGAAUGCAGGCUGCACAGCUAUCCCAGAAGCCAGAACAGCAAGAGGGAUUGCUGCUUUCACUGCGCAGCGAUCCCUCUUGCUGUUCUGGCUUCUGAGAUUCAGAAUAUUUUUUUUCUUGUUUUCCUCCUCCAAAAACUAGGUGCAUCUUAUGGUCUGGUGCGUCUUAUAGAGCAAAAAAUACAGUACAUUAAACAAAUAAAUAAACUUUGGUUGCUCCGCCCCCUUUCCUCUGGCUCCGCCCCCCGCUGGCAUGCGGCCCCCGGAAGGAGGGAACGCGGCUCUUUGGCCAUCCCCAGUCUUUUUGUUCUCCUAGCCCUUUGUUGCUUGUUAGAAACCGCUGGAUCUUUCCCUCUGAUUUCAUAUCUUUGAAUUCCCUUUCUUUUAUUGUUCCUGACCUACAGCCUGCUUAUACCAGCCAAUCUCCGUUCAAUUGAUUCUCUUCCUCUUUAAAAAUAAGCACACAAAACAAAACAAAAAAAAUCCCUCUAAGACUCAUUUAUUUCAGCUGGCCUUUGUCUAAUUGUUUUUCACCUUCUCUUCCUCUUGCAGCUUUCCCAUUUAUUUUUAGUUUCGUUUCUCAUUACAGGUCUGUGGGGCAGGAGUUUUGUACACCACUUGGUUUGGGUGGAUUUUUAUUUUUUUUAAAUGUGCUUCAUUAUAUAUAAUUUUAAUCUCACUCCUUGGCUAGGAAAAAGCUCCCAUAGCGAUAUACAAAGAUUGGAAAUAGGGGGUUGUAGCCAACUAAGUUCUACUCAGAGUAAAUCCAUUGAAAUUAACGGACCUGGAGUAAUCAUCUAACAUGGGAUACAACCCAAUUUAUUUUCUGCCCUCAGGCUUUCAAAUGGAAACAAAGUCAUGGCAUUAGAAGAAACGUGGUUUGGGAGGGAGGAGGAAAAAGCAAGAGAAGAAGAAGAAGAAGAGGAGGAGUAGUAGUUUGGAUUUGAUAUCCUGCUUUAUCACUACCCUAAGGAGUCUCAAAGUGGCUAGCAAUCUCCUUUCCCUUCCUCCCCAACAAGAAACACCCAGUGAGGUGAGAGACUUCAGAGAAGUGUGACUAGCCCAAGGUCGCCCAGCAGCUGCAUGUGGAGGAGCAGGGAAUCGAACCUGGUUCACCAGAUUACGAGUCCACUGCUCUUAACCACUAUACCACACUGGCUCUCAGUGAGUAAACCCAGGCACCAUUUCUGUGUUGCAAAAUUCUGUGUUGCAAAAUUCAGCAGAACAACAAACAAACCUAUGGUCACGUAAAGCAUACUCAAUAAACACACAAGACUGUAAAAUGUGUGAGAUCAUGAUAUUGUAUUUAUUUGCAUUACUUAGAGCUUUAGGUACUGAUGAAGCCCAGGAUGGCGAAACAAGGCCAAUAUUCCAGAAAUCCUUGUCUAGAUUCUGCGUAAGGAUUUUGUGGAACUGUAACAACCUUUCAUGUGGAUUUUUUGGACUUUACGAACAGACAGAUGGAAUAGACACCAUUACACGGAUGGACCUUAUGCAUGAACUGACUAAAGAAUGAUCCUAUCCACUGGGUCUUCUGCUUUGUUUGUUUGUUGAACUUUAUGAGUUACUUCCAUUGAAAUUUAUAAUUUGAUACUAUGAACAGUAUGCCUUAUUUAUCUAAGAACACAGCUGGUUACGUCUUGUGUGUUUAUUGAGCAAAAUUCAGCAGGGCAAGGAGCAGGAUCUAAGCACAGUGCAAUAGCGGCUGUUUCUUUCCCUCAAGGAUGGCAGCCUUUGGUCAGAGGAAAGUCUCCGAAAUGCGAAUGAUGAGAGGA